rnacentral:rRNA from 1 species
UACGUAGGUCCCGAGCGUUGUCCGGAUUUAUUGGGCGUAAAGCGAGCGCAGGUGGUUUAUUAAGUCUGGUGUAAAAGGCAGUGGCUCAACCAUUGUAUGCAUUGGAAACUGGUAGACUUGAGUGCAGGAGAGGAGAGUGGAAUUCCCGGUGUAGCGGUGGAAUGCGCAGAUAUCGGGAAGAACACCGAUGGCGAAGGCAGCUCUCUGGGCCGUCACUGACGCUGAGGCGCGAAAGCUGGGGGAGCGAACAGG